rnacentral:misc_RNA from 1 species
CGGCCGCGGUGGGGCGAGGCACGCUCGCCCCUUCACACUGACGCUGAUGUCUCCCGCUGCUAACACAACCGUCGAAUCAGCACACUGCACCUCGUCUCCGCUUCUGAGACGCCGUCGGACAGCCGACCAGCGGAGGUCGGGAAGGGCUGUGCGCCGCACUGUUGUGCAGCCGAUCUCCCCUCCCCCCUACCCUCGUGAGAAGCGGCGAAUGAAGCUGCUUCCAAGACACCUAAAGCGCGCACGUAUCCCAGAGCAACACGCAACGGUGCACACCGCAAGACCACGACCAUCAUGGCGCACACAUCAAGCGUGGCAUUGACGGAUGAGGAGGUGCUGCGACGCGUGCAGCUGCUCGGCGACGCAAUCGCCGAGGAGCAGCGGCAAACUAAGCCUUCGGUCGGCCUGCGGCAGCCGUCGCGGGACUGGCACAUUCAGGUUCGGCUGCUGGAGGAGGUGACGUGCUUGCUCGCCGACGACAUCUCCGGCCGCCGCGCCUUUGUGGGGUGGAUGUCCCUCUACAUGAGGAAUUGCCUGCUGCACGCGCUGCAGAGCCGGCGCGCACCAAUCGCGUUGGCAGCGGUGAACGCUGUGGGAACGGUCGUUCAACAUGGCGCCUGUCGCGCUGCUGUUGCAGUCGUGUGCUCUUGGUUUCUCGCCUGCCUUGUGCGGCUCGCCGCGAGCUCCUCUGCAACGUCGGCGGUUUCCGCCGCGGCAAUGUGUGUGCUCCUCUCCAUGGCACAGAAAUGUGUGCUUACCCUCGAGGGUGUGAACAGCCUCUUGUGUGACUGCGGUGCUCCCAGUGCAGCCGUGCGCCGGCGUUCUCUUGAGGUUCUGCGCUCCUACCUGGAAGCGGCCAAGGGGACAUCAGCCCAGCUGUCUGUCAAAGCCUACACUGAGGCGGUCCGCCGCGUGAUCAGCGAUCGCAUGCGUGACGCCGACGCCGAGGUUCGGCGUGCGGCGCGGCGGUGCUUCUGGGCCCUGCAUGUCUUGGAACCCGCGUCUACAGGGGCGCUGCUUCGCGUACUGCCCGCGGGUCUGCAGCGUCAGCUGGCCGCUGAACGCGCGGAUGCGAUGCAGGAACUCAAAGCAGUGGAGCUCCCGCCGGCACCGCCUACGUCGCCGUCGUCGGCUCUGAGGAGUGGCCGCGCUGCGCACCGGAAUCCACACGCUUUGGACGCCGCACACGCGUCCCGCACCGUCACGUUAAAGGAUGAUCUGCAAAGCGCAGUGGCGUGCCGUGCGCGCGCGGUCACGCCACGCUCCACGUCUCCAAGCAAGGCACGUCGGCAGCUGUUGCGGUCGGCAAAGGAGGCGGCCGCCCACCAGCAGAGGCGCACUAUGCUUCCGACGCCGCAUUUGUGCGCAAGUGGACCGGGUACCUUCGCCACAGGUGCUGGAUCUACGCGCCUUUACGCCGCAUCGCGUCGUGCCGGUGGUGGCACGUCCUUGCUCACAUCGAUGGAAAGCACCGACUGGUCCAUCCGGCGUGCUGCCGUCCUUGAAGGGCAGAGGCUGUGCGAGAGCGGGUCCUUAAUGAGCGAGGACAUCGCCCAGUUACUGACAGGGCUGCUCAUUCGUGUUCAGGAUAUUCAUUUUCGCGUUGUGGAGGCGGCACAAAAUUUUCUGCGCACGCUGAUGGCGCGGGCACCAACGGCAACGCAGAACGAGUUUCAAAGCCUGCUGCCCUUCCUGGUGAGUGCCCUCGUUCGCAACACGAGCCACGCUCGACCGGUCGUGCGUGCUGGUGCUCGUCACUUGCUCGACCGCAUUGCGCGCACCCAUGAACCCCCGCUGGAGGUGCUGAAAGCGGUGCUGCGCGCCGCGGACGACGUCGGCGGCGGCAGCGCCGCCAUGGAUCAGCGCUGCGCGGAGCUCCUCCAUUAUGUGAUCGUGGUACAUCCCUCUCUUUUCGCUGAGACGUCGUCGAUGGGCAUCGCUGUACGGGGCAUUCUCGCUCAUCUGCGCGCGCUGGAAAGCCGUCAACCAAAGGAAAGCAGUCGAGCUGGAGUGCGGGUGGCACAGGUAAGCUGGUUCACUGCGCUCGGUGCAGCGCUGCUUGCGUGUCCCGAAUCCUUUCGACAGAUAGCGGAGCGGCUCGCGCCCUCGGAGCAGGAGGAGGUGCGUGCGGCCCUCCGCGAGAGCUUUGGCUUGAUGGACAAGGACUGGGAGGGGAAGUUUUCGGACGUCUGCGCAAUAGGUAACGAGCGGCUGCGCUGUCUCUUUGCCGAGGAGCUGAAGGCCUGCGCGAUGACGGAGCGCGGUGUGACCGGCACUUUCGAGCCGCUGCCCGGUGCAGACCGCCGAAUGACCAGGGGCGGUGGCGCGUCGGACGUGGCACCUCUGAGUAGUCGUGCGCUGCAGAACGCCUCAAUGCUGCUGCGUGAGUUUCUCUCGGUCGACGAAGCCCGCCUUCUGUCAUCAGGAGCAGCGCGAGAGUUGCCAGAAGACGCCGUCGCCGGUGCCGCUUCUACGCCAGUGCUCGCAGCUCUGCCUGAACUGGCGCGGCCGGCUAAUGCAAGUUGUGCGCCGUCUCCAGUGCUUGCUGGUGUCGAUGGGGGUGAUGAAAGCAGCGUUGCCCAUGCGACUGUGUCGCGGCGCGCCUGGCCCGGGCCACAGUGUGGCAGGGACCCUGUUGCUCACUUUCUCCGUCAGCGGCCGUACUGCAGAGACACCGAGGAGCGGCGCUGCGCCCUGCUGUCCUUGGCGGAGGCGCUACGCGCUGGCGGCCCUGGCGCUGAGAGGGAGAGGGGAGCGGACGUAUACCGCCCGGAUUGUGUACCAGAGGAUGUGGAGCGGCUUCUGGUGUACUGGGAGCGCGAGCUAUCCGGUGUGGAAGGGGCGACGCACCACAACGUGCGAUGGGCUAUGGUUAAGGCGUUGCAGGCACUCCUACAGUGGCCCGCUGCCAGAUCGGCCGUGUCGCGGCAGCUGACUCGCGUAUUUAGCAUCUGCCGCGCUGGCCUCGACGACCCUUUUUUGGAGGCACAGCUGCAGGCGGCGUGCUGCCUCGACACCCUUCUGACCGUUUGCAAGCCCCCAGCGGAUCUCUGCCUCAGCGCCAUCGCCAGUUGUGUAAUGCGGUGGUUGGAGGGUCCCAUGGGCGACGGCGCCACUUCAGGCUGGCUGGAACUUGUACACAUGAAUCUUCGAGUCGUCGAGCAAGCGCAGCCGACGCUAGCAGGGGUGAAGGGCACCAACAGACUAGCCUCUGUAGUGCUGCCAGACGAGACAGACUAUCAGCGUCAUCCCACCCUGACUGCUGCGGUACUCCAUCGAGUUGUAGCCGUGCUGAACUGCUGCCUCAACCAUUGUCACGUUUCUGUACGGUUGUGUGCUGUGCUGGUGCUUGUGGGGAUUCGGCGCGCAUUGGGGGAUGCCGUAACGCUACCGUUUCUGGCGCCGCUCUCUGCUGCUCACAUGCGCCUUGUUGACGUCUACCUGGACAAGGUGAUGGAGGAGCGUCCAUGGCGCCUUCUGACUUGACCAGCUUCACGCUGCGGAAUGGUGAUGUUGCUGGCGGCCGCACCACAACGCUACGCGACUGGUGCUACACAGCAAUGCUGCUGCAGUGGCACGAGUAUUCUCUUGAGGCAGCGAGAGCGUGCAGUUUGCUCGUUAAAAGCUUUCUUGUGCACCCCAACUUGUUCGGCUCGCCUCACUCACCCCCCCCUGCUCCCCCGUCGCAACGGCGUCUAGAGCCGUUUGGACGAGAGCGUCCACUUGGAUGUGCGUGGAUUCGCUUGUGCGUGUCUGGGGUCGUUUGAUCCUUCUCCAUCCUUUCACGCGUUAGCCUCACAUGCUGCACUAUCCUUCCUCCACGUGUGUGUGUGUGUGUGUGUGUGUCUGUGUGACGGCGGGAUGGAGACACGUGUGUUUUGUGCUGUUUUGCUGUGGCUCUGUUUACGCGCUCUGUAUCG